GCAAGUGAGGUUACUUAAAUUCUGCGAAACACGUUGGGUGGAGCAUUUAGAAUCUCUUUCUUUAUUUAACGAUUUAUUCCCAUUGAUCUGUACAGCGUUGGAAGAGCUUGAUACUGAAAAUUUAAGAAGUGAUUUAUCAAAGCAACAUGCUUUGUUGACUGCAAUCCAAUCACCUCAAUUUGUGAUUGCUAUGGCGAUACUAAAGCCAAUUUUUGCAUUAUCAAAACACAUAAGCCUAUGUUUGCAGCAAAUAGACUGUGAUUUGAGCAGCUGCGUUGCUUAUGCAAAUAAUUUGGAUGCUGAGAUUAGUGAAAUGCGUAAGGAUUCUGAACAAUCGUUUAAACUAAUUUUUGAAUAAGUUAAAACAAUAGCCGCAGAAUUAGAUUUAGAAAUCAAAAUUCCGCGUUUGGCGAAACGGCAAACUAAUCGCGACAAUUAUGAAGGCGAACCGGAAGAAUAUUACCGCAGAUCAAUUUAUAUACCGUUUUUAGAUCAUUUUUUGGACCAAAUCAAUGAACGAUUUUUAAAACAUAUAAAUACAUAAAUCUUGACGCUAUUGAGAUGCUGUUCGUGUUUUAGAAAAGCAAUGGUCCGCUGAUGUAGAAGAUCCCGAUGAUUUCGUUGCUGAAUUUAGAAUGUGGAAAAGGAACUGGUUAAAUCAAACAAAGAGAUCCAAAACUUUUUUAGACGCGUUGAAUUGUUGCGAUGCAAAAAUUUUCAAAACAGUGCAUCGUUUUUAAAGAUUGGAGCAACAAUCCCUAUAUCUGUCGCUUCAAGUGAACGCUCGUUUUCCUCACUUCGCAGGCUUAAAACAUAUUUAAGAAAUAAAACUGGAGAAGCACGCCUGAACGGAAUGGCUCUCUUGAAUAUCCAUAGAGAUAUAGACGUGACGGAGGAAGAGAUUUUAAAUGUUAUGGCCCAAAAUAAAAGAAGAUUAGACUUCAAUUUGUGAAUAAAAUAAUGAAA